rnacentral:rRNA from 1 species
AGCGAACGCUGGCGGCAGGCCUAACACAUGCAAGUCGAACGGACAUUUCGGGGUUUGUGGCGGACGGGUGAGUACCACGUGGGGACGUGCCCUUAGGUUCGGAAUAGCUCCUGGAAGCGGGUGGUAAUGCCGCAUGUGCUCUUAGGGGGUAGGAUCUAUCGCUUCUAGGGCGGCCCGCGUAUGUUUCGCUAGUUGGUUGAGGUCACGGCACAUCUAGGCGUCGAUCAGUAGCUGGGCGGAGAGGAUGGCCAGCCGCAUUGGGACUGAGACACGGCCCAAACUCCGACGCGAGGCAGCAGUAGGGUAUCCUGCGGGAGGAGCGAAAGCCUGACGCAGCCAUGCCGCGUGAAUGAUGAAGGUCUUAGGAUUCUAAAUUUCUUUCACCGGAGACGAUAAUGACGGUACCCGGUGAAGAAGCCCCGGCUAACUUCGUG